AGCUAGUCUAACCUUCGGGAGGACGGUUACCACGGUGUGAUUCAUGACUGGGGUGAAGUCGUAACAAGGUAGCCGUAGGGGAACCUGCGGCUGGAUCACCUCCUUAAUCGACGA
rnacentral:rRNA from 1 species